AUCAGAAGGAACAGAACACAUCUGAAUAUCAGAAGGAACAAACUCCGGACACGCUACCUUUAAAAACUGUAAUACUCACCGCGAGGGUCUGCGGUUUCAUUCAUGAAGUCAGUGAGACAAAGAACUCACCAAUUCCGGACACAGUGGGAGCAAAGGCAUGGCAGGAGGAGAGAACUGCGUGUGUGAGGAAUAAAAACAACAUGUUGCAAUUGAGGAAGGCGUGAAUUUAUGGGGAGAAUACAGAGAUGAAGACUUAAAACGGAUGGAAGGCCAAGGAGAUGAAAUGGAAGACUUUGGACAGAACUUCUGGGAAAGCUCUUUAAAGCAGUCUACUAGACUGGCAAGCAGACAUUCAUUCUCCUCUUCUGACUUAGACAUGGUAUUUUUAGCUCCAGCAGCCGUCCUGUGAAGAUGGGAGCACACGCUAAGGGCAGCAGAAAAGAAAGCCAGAAGGAGGUUGGAUAUUGAUAACCACCGUGGUGCCAUCUUACCAGCCCUCGG
rnacentral:lncRNA from 10 species